GAUGAACGCUGGCGGCGUGCCUAAUACAUGCAAGUCGAGCGAAUGGAUUAAGAGCUUGCUCUUAUGAAGUUAGCGGCGGACGGGUGAGUAACACGUGGGUAACCUGCCCAUAAGACUGGGAUAACUCCGGGAAACCGGGGCUAAUACCGGAUAACAUUUUGAACCGCAUGGUUCGAAAUUGAAAGGCGGCUUCGGCUGUCACUUAUGGAUGGACCCGCGUCGCAUUAGCUAGUUGGUGAGGUAACGGCUCACCAAGGCAACGAUGCGUAGCCGACCGGAGAGGGUGAUGGGCCACACUGGGACUGAAACACGGCCCAGACUCCUACGGGAGGCAGCAGUAGGGAAUCUUCCGCAAUGGACGAAAGUCUGACGGAGCAACGCCGCGUGAGUGAUGAAGGCUUUCGGGUCGUAAAACUCUGUUGUUAGGGAAGAACAAGUGCUAGUUGAAUAAGCUGACACCUUGACGGUACCUAACCAGAAAGCCACGGCUAACUACGUGCCAGCCGCCGCGGUAA
rnacentral:rRNA from 1 species